rnacentral:rRNA from 1 species
AUUGAACGCUGGCGGAAUGCUUUACACAUGCAAGUCGAACGGCUGCACGGACUUCGGUCUGGUGGCGAGUGGCGAACGGGUGAGUAACAUAUCGGAACGUAUCCAAUAAUGGGGGAUAACGAGUCGAAAGAUUCGCUAAUACCGCAUACGCCCUACGGGGGAAAGCUGGGGACCUUCGGGCCUGGCGUUAAUGGAGCGGCCGAUAUCUGAUUAGCUAGUUGGUGAGGUAAAGGCUCACCAAGGCGACGAUCAGUAGCUGGUCUGAGAGGACGACCAGCCACACUGGAACUGAGCCACGGUCCAGACUCCUACGGGAGGCAGCAGAGGGGAAUUUUGGACAAUGGGCGCAAGCCUGAUCCAGCCAUUCCGCGUGAGUGAAGAAGGCCUUCGGGUUGUAAAGCUCUUUCGCAAGGGAAGAAAACUUAGCCACUAACAUUGGUUGAGGUUGACGGUACCUUGAUAAGAAGCACCGGCUAACUACGUGCCAGCCGCCGCGGUAA